rnacentral:rRNA from 1 species
CCGCACAAGCGGUGGAUUAUGUGGAUUAAUUCGAUGCAACGCGAAAAACCUUACCUGGCCUUGACAUGCCACUAACGAAGCAGAGAUGCAUUAGGUGCCCGAAAGGGAAAGUGGACACAGGUGCUGCAUGGCUGUCGUCAGCUCGUGUCGUGAGAUGUUGGGUUAAGUCCCGCAACGAGCGCAACCCUUGCCAAUAAUUGCCAUCAUUCAGUUGGGCACUUUAUUGGGACUGCCGGUGACAAACCGGAGGAAGGUGGGGAUGACGUCAAGUCCUCAUGGCCCUUAUGGCCAGGGCUUCACACGUAAUACAAUGGUCGGUACAGAGGGUUGCCAACCCGCGAGGGGGAGCCAAUCCCAGAAAGCCGAUCGUAGUCCGGAUUGUUCUCUGCAACUCGAGAGCAUGAAGUCGGAAUCGCUAGUAAUCGCGGAUCAGCAUGUCGCGGUGAAUACGUUCCCGGGCCUUGUACACACCGCCCGUCACACCAUGGGAGUGGGUUCUACCAGAAGUAGUUAGCCUAACCGCAAGGGGGACGAUUACCACGGUAGGGUUCAUGACUGGGGUGAAGUCGUAAUCAAGGUAACCGUA